rnacentral:rRNA from 1 species
GAAGCUUUCCGCAAACUUAAUCUCCAAGUUGUUCCUCAAGGAUUCCUUGCCAACCUCCAAGUCUCUCCUACUUUGGAAGAUCAGAUUCGUGAGGCUCAACUUCUUAAUGCUAUGGUGAAGAAGGUGAAGAUUGGGAUUGCCAAGAGCCAACCCAAGUACAAGUGCUAUCGCCUUGAUGACAAGGAUACUCUAUUCUUCGAGGAUCGCAUUGUUGUUCCUAAGGGUGAUCUUCGUAAAGUCAUUAUGAACGAGGCUCACAAUUCACUCCUUUCUAUUCAUCCUAGAAGUACAAAGAUGUACCAUGGCCUCAAGCAGUCGUAUUGGUGGACUCGAAUGAAGCGCGAGAUUGCUUAG